UGCUUUAUGCUGCUGAAAGGUGCACACUGCCAGUUCUGUAACAUCAAAUGAGUACAUUCUGUUCAGCUUGAAAAUCCACUUGGGUGCCAAGUGCAACAGUAACAGGCUUACACUGUGGUCUUGGUACAGUGCUUAUUAAACAGUCCCUGGAAAUGAAACUUCCCUUGGUUGUUCUUGUGACUGUUCUGCUUUAUGCUGCUGACCAUUGACCUUUCUGUAAUAUCUAAGAGAUAGAUUCCCUGGCGAUUGCAACAAGUCCUGUUGUGAAUCAAUUUCAUCAAUUGUACGUAGUGUUCUUAGCAAACUGCCAGCAAACUUCCUGUAACAAUGAAUGUCCUUCUGCCAGUUCUUGUGGCUUCCCUGAUUUGUACAUGUGGGUCAUCACCACUUGCUGCUGGGUCAUCACCACUUGCUGCUGGUAAG